UGGAAUAGGACCCUGUCCUCCUAUUUUCAGUUGGUUUGCCGCGAGGACCAGGGUAAUGAUUAAUAGGGAUAGUUGGGGGCAUUAAUAUUUAAUUGUCAGAGGUGAAAUUCUUGGAUUUAUGAAAGAUUAACUUCUGCGAAAGCAUCUGCCAAGGAUGUUUUCAUUAAUCAAGAACGAAAGUUAGGGGAUCGAAGACGAUCAGAUACCGUCGUAGUCUUAACCAUAAACGAUGCCGACCAGCGAUUAGGAGACGUUGAAUACAAAACACCACCAUGCGCAUUGCGGUCGUCUUUGGUGUCGCUCACAAGGCGGCACCGGGGCGGCUUAGCUCGCAUGGCACCGGUGAAU
rnacentral:rRNA from 1 species